rnacentral:SRP_RNA from 1 species
CUGCACUAGUCGGGGAGUCAGCGGUGCCCUGUAACCUGCAACCCGCUACAGCAGGGAUGAAUCCCGGCCCCCGGACUUGUGAUGUUUUGACAGCCCCUGAUAAGCAGUGAUGACGGACCGGUCUCGCGCAACGUAAAUUCGUGAACCAUGUCAGGCGGGGAACCGAGCAGCAUUAAGCGAAACCUUACGUGUGCCGCGAGGCAACCGGUUCCGAGCCGGCUGUCAGGUCAGCGGGGAUAUCACAUUUUCAAAGGCCGGUGUGCAG